rnacentral:rRNA from 1 species
UACGAACCGUACGAACGUUAUUCGGAAUCACUGGGCUUAAAGCGUGCGUAGGCGGCUUGGAAAGUUGGGUGUGAAAUCCCUCGGCUCAACCGAGGAGUUGCGCCCAAAACUACUAGGCUUGAGGGAGGUAGAGGUAAGCGGAACUAAUGGUGGAGCGGUGAAAUGCGUUGAUAUCAUUAGGAACACCUGUGGCGAAAGCAGCUUACUGGGCCUCUUCUGACGCUGAGGCACGAAAGCUAGGGGAGCGAACGGGAUUAGAUACCCCGGUAGUCCUAGCUGUAAACGAUGAGCACUGGAUUGAGGAGACUUCCACAUCUUCUCGGUCGUAGCGAAAGUGUUAAGUGCUCCGCCUGGGGAGUAUGGUCGCAAGGCUGAA